AUACUCAUGUAAUCGCUGUUUGUGUAAUACAAGCAGAGGAAAGUCCAUGCUCACACAAACUGAGAUGUUUGUAGUGUUCGUGCUUGACGAAUUCAUAAGUCAAGGUAACCUUAAUGGUUAACGGCAGGGGAAAUUCCUAAGUCCUAUUGGAUAUGGAACGCGAUCCUUGAAAGUGCCACAGUGACGUAGCUAGAGUGGAAACACUUUAGGUGGAACGAGGUAAACCCCACGAGUGAGCAACCCAAAUAAUGGUAGGGGCAUCCUUUAGUAGGGAAAUCAACCGAACAAGGGACAAGUUUUACUUGUAGAUAGAUGAUUACAACCUGCGUACGAGGCUGACCACCGUAUGGAGUACAACGGUACAGAACAUGGCUUAUCGAG
rnacentral:RNase_P_RNA from 1 species